rnacentral:lncRNA from 1 species
GAAGAAGACGGGAGAAAGAUUCAGAAGCAGCAAUUAAAUUAAAUUCAACAUGCAUCCACUGAGCACUUCUUGUUUCCCUAGAACUCUACAGGGACCCCAAGAGAUAUUUACCAGAGCUGCAGCUACACUCAUCUACCUGCCACUUCUUGAAACUGGAACCCAGGAGAUCAGAACGUAACUGGAAAGCAUGAAGUGGGACAAUCUGAAAGCAUCCAGAUUCAACUGUGCAUGAAGGCAAAGAAAAUAACAGCAUACCCUUUCAAAAUAUUGGUUUUAAGUGAUAUGGAGACACUACUUUGGAGCAUUUUCCUCUUUGCGUUUCUAAUCUUGGCACAGUGCUU